rnacentral:tRNA from 1 species
GUAUUGGUGGUUCAGCGGCAGAAUUCUUGCCUCCCAUACAGGAGAUCUGGUUCGAUUCCCGGCCGAUGCA